GCAUGCAGGGCUGAAUCCCAAGGUGAGCAAAAACAUCACGCCACACUUCUUGAGCAAAGGAGCAUUGUGUCAGAAGAUGAGAAAUGGAUUCAGUGGCUUGAUCACAGACGGUACAUGUGUCUUCUCUCAGUCUGUGCCGUAGGCGACGCUCAGAUGUCCAACAGCAAUCAGCCACCGCCAGCCAAGCAAACACUUUUCAUUGAGGAAUAGUACUAUCCAUAAACCAAUAGCAAUUCCUAUUGGAGAAAAGUUAAUACUUGCCUGAAAACAGUGGUGUUGCCUCUCUCCCGUCACUUCUGUUUUCCAUGAGUUGUGGACUUGAAGCAUGAAACAAUUAAUUUUCUAGGGAGAAGAUCAAAUGUUCGUUGCAGUUUCAUGGAUGUGGGGCGUGAUACAAUGAACGACCACAACACCAUGUCCUUAUGCAGAUACGUUUAUAAUGAUUACUGGUCAUGUUGCCACAACGGAAGAAUGCAGAAAGCAAGUAAUUGUGCAUGCAAUAUCUAUCAUCAAACUGUUGAAGGUAACAAAUGUUCGUUCUGUUAUUGUUUUCCAGGAAAAUUAGUACGAUAUCAGUAAAUUAGUCCAUAGGCUAAUGCCAUAUGAGCAUUAGUCAAGAACAAAAGUAAUGCCAAUAGUAACAAGGUGAAAAUUGGAAGAAGAUUUCACGACGUUUACGAGUAUUGUAUCUAUGUUUAGUCAAAUUAUCCUAUGUUUAUCUUCUGUUAGGAAUUAGGAAUUUCUGAGCUUCAAACUACAGCGUGCCAAUGGCCUAGAAUGUGUUCUUGCAGAAAGUAAUGAUCAAGUAAAACUGUAGAAAGAUACUAGUAUACCUUGGUUUUGAGAAUCUGGAAACACUGUUUUGUAGAUAUCUUAAGGUCUGCUCUUAAAUAGGAAUCCUCCUGAUCAGUGACAUGUUGAACUGUACCUAUAUCCCAUUUACUAGGUAUCUGCUCUUUGAUAAUUACAGUUUCAUAGAUGUGAUAACCAACCACAACAGUGUCCUUAUUAAGAUAUGUUUAUCAUGAUCACUGACCCCAUUGCCACAUUGGAAGAAUGCAGAAAGCCAGCAACUGUGCAUGCAAUACUGAUCAUCAAACUGGUGAAGCUGAAUAUGAUGUGGUCAACAUAAGUGACAACAGUCCAUACACUCUCACAUGGGCAUGUAUUAUGAGCGAUCCAGGCCGUUGUUGCAGAAUGGCUCAAAUUUGCAGCUGACAACAUAGAUGAUGCACUUAGCAGAUAUUAGUGCACCUGAAAACGGGGAUGCUGCCACACACACGCUGUGUCUUAUUAGGCAUGGAGGCUGAGGUGCUUCAGCACGGCAUGGGGUUGACAGGCAAUACCUUUUAACAGUCGAUGCCUCUCGAGGAGGGAAUGUCUGAAGGAGUGAAGGUGCAAGCCUGGUGGUGGUGGCAUGAACACAACCUUUGCUGCAAGCUGAUUUUGGGGUCAUACCUUGCAGCUUGACAUAUCCACCAAGGAUUCCGGGUAGGAUCCUGCUGAUGCAAAUGCAGAUAUCACUGUAAUAGUUUUCAGUAACAAGCUGAGGCUUUGUUGGGUUCUUGUUCCUGAGCUUGCUUGUUCCCGUAUAUGUAAAACUUGCUUGUAAGUUC